rnacentral:rRNA from 1 species
AGUGAACGCUGGCGGUAGGCCUAACACAUGCCAGUCGAACGGCAGCACAGUAAGAGCUUGCUCUUACGGGUGGCGAGUGGCGGACGGGUGAGGAAUACAUCGGAAUCUACUUUUUCGUGGGGGAUAACGUAGGGAAACUUACGCUAAUACCGCAUACGACCUACGGGUGAAAGCAGGGGAUCUUCGGACCUUGCGCGAUUGAAUGAGCCGAUGUCGGAUUAGCUAGUUGGCGGGGUAAAGGCCCACCAAGGCGACGAUCCGUAGCUGAUCUGAGAGGAUGAUCAGCCACACUAGAACUGAGACACGGUCCAGACUCCUACGGGAGGCAGCAGUGGGGAAUAUUGGACAAUGGGCGCAAGCCUGAUCCAGCCAUACCGCGUGGGUGAAGAAGGCCUUCGGGUUGUAAAGCCCUUUUGUUGGGAAAGAAAAGCAGCAGGUUAAUACCCCGCUGUUCUGACGGUACCCAAAGAAUAAGCACCGGCUAACUUCGUG